rnacentral:rRNA from 1 species
GUACUCGAGCGGCGAACGGGUGAGUAACACGUGAGCAACCUGCCCUAGGCUUUGGGAUAACCCUCGGAAACGGGGGCUAAUACCGAAUAUUACUGCUGGCCGCAUGGCUGGUGGUGGAAAGUUUUUCGGCCUGGGAUGGGCUCGCGGCCUAUCAGCUUGUUGGUGGGGUAAUGGCCUACCAAGGCGACGACGGGUAGCCGGCCUGAGAGGGCGACCGGCCACACUGGGACUGAGACACGGCCCAGACUCCUACGGGAGGCAGCAGUGGGGAAUAUUGCACAAUGGGCGGAAGCCUGAUGCAGCGACGCCGCGUGAGGGAUGACGGCCUUCGGGUUGUAAACCUCUUUCAGCAGGGACGAAGCGAAAGUGACGGUACCUGCAGAAGAAGCACCGGCCAACUACGUGCCAGCAGCCGCGGUAAGACGUAGGGUGCGAGCGUUGUCCGGAUUUAUUGGGCGUAAAGAGCUCGUAGGCGGCUUGUCGCGUCGACUGUGAAAACCCGCAGCUCAACUGCGGGCCUGCAGUCGAUACGGGCAGGCUAGAGUUCGGUAGGGGAGACUGGAAUUCCUGGUGUAGCGGUGAAAUGCGCAGAUAUCAGGAGGAACACCGAUGGCGAAGGCAGGUCUCUGGGCCGAUACUGACGCUGAGGAGCGAAAGCGUGGGGAGCGAACAGGAUUAGAUACCCUGGUAGUCCACGCUGUAAACGUUGGGCGCUAGGUGUG